UGAAAGACGGACGCAGACUUUGCCCUGUCUCAUUUAUUUCUCCUGUUUCAGGGCAACUGUCUGCAACUGUCUACUCUCACAUUAAUGCUGCCACAUCCCUUCGAUCGCCGGCCUGCAGCAAAGCUCCCAACUAGCGUCAGGGUGACAGAGGAAGGGCACCAUAACAAUCAUCACUGAUAGAGCAGCGGACAACGGCAGUAAUUGGUGUGUGCGUCCACGCGGGAUGCAGAACAAGUGCACGCUCGCUGAAAAUUCCAUCCCGGAAUGCUGCAUUGGCAAGACAGGCUGAAGUGGUGCCAGAGCCAUAAUGAGAUCUGUCACAGCCAU